GUUAGGAAUAUUGGACAAUGGGCGAAAGCCUGAUCCAGCCAUGCCGCGUGAACGAUGAAGGCCUUCGGGUUGUAAAGUUCUUUAGCCGAUGAUUAUAAUGACUGUAGUCGGAAAAUAAGCCCCGGCUAACUUCGUGCCAGCAGCCGCGGUAAUACGAAGGGGGCGAGCGUUAUUCGGAAUCACUGGGCGUAAAGCGUGCGUAGGCGGUUUUGUAAGUUAGGAGUGAAAGCCCAGGGCUCAACCUUGGAAUUGCUCUUAAAACUGCAAGGCUCGAAUCUCGGAGAGGAUAGCGGAAUUUCCAGUGUAGCAGUGAAAUGCGUAGAUAUUGGAAGGAACACCAGUGGCGUAAGCGGCUAUCUGGACGAGUAUUGACGCUGAGGCACGAAAGCGUGGGGAUCAACCAGGAUUAGAAACCCGUGUAGUCC
rnacentral:rRNA from 1 species